rnacentral:rRNA from 1 species
GACGAACGCUGGCGGCGUGCUUAACACAUGCAAGUCGAACGGAAAGGCCCUGCUUUUGUGGGGUGCUCGAGUGGCGAACGGGUGAGUAACACGUGAGUAACCUGCCCUUGACUUUGGGAUAACUUCAGGAAACUGGGGCUAAUACCGGAUAGGAGCUCCUGCUGCAUGGUGGGGGUUGGAAAGUUUCGGCGGUUGGGGAUGGACUCGCGGCUUAUCAGCUUGUUGGUGGGGUAGUGGCUUACCAAGGCUUUGACGGGUAGCCGGCCUGAGAGGGUGACCGGCCACAUUGGGACUGAGGUACGGCCCAGACGCCUACGGUAGGCAGCAGUGGGGAAUAUUGCACAAUGGGCGGAAGCCUGAUGCAGCAACGCCGCGUUCGUGAUGACGGCCUUCGGGUUGUAAACCGCUUUCGCCUGUGACGAAGCGUGAGUGACGGUAAUGGGUAAAGAAGCACCGGCUAACUACGUG